rnacentral:rRNA from 1 species
GACGAACGCUGGCGGCGUGCUUAACACAUGCAAGUCGAACGGAAAGGCGCUGCUUUUGUGGGGUGCACGAGUGGCGAACGGGUGAGUAACACGUGUGUAACAUGCCCUUGUCUUUGGGAUAAAUUCAGGAAACUGGGGAUAAUACAGGAUAGGAGCUCCUGCUGCAUGGGGGGGGAUGGAGAGUUACGGCGGUUGGGGAUGGAAUAGAGGCUUAUCAGCUUGUUGGUGGGGUAGUGGCUUACCAAGUCUUCGACGGGUAGCCGGCCUGAGAGCGUGACCAGCCACCUUGGUACUGCGAGACGGCCCAGACUCCUACGGGAGGCAGAAGUGGGGAAUAUUGCACAGUGACCGGAAGCCUGAUGCAGCAACGCCGCGUGCGUGAUGACGGCCUUCGGGUUGUAAACCGCUUUCGCCUUUGACGAAGCGUUAUUGACGGUAAUUAGUAAAGAAGCACCGGCUAACUACGUG